GGUAGCGUGUCCGAGUGGCCUAAGGAGCACGCCUCGAAAGCGUGUGAGGGGGCGACUCCUCCGUGGGUUCGAAUCCCACCGCUACCGCCA
rnacentral:tRNA from 2 species